GAGGACACGCUGGCGGCGUGCUUAACACAUGCAAGUCGAACGGUUCAAGGAGCAAGUUUACUUGAUACUUGGAUAGUGGCGGACGGGUGAGUAACGCGUGGGUAACCUACCCUAAACACCGGGACAACAGCUGGAAACGGCUGCUAAUACCGGAUAAGCUCAUUGAGAGGCAUCUCUAAAUGAGGAAAGGUGGCCUCUUUUAAUGCUACCGAUUAAGGAUGGAUCCGCGUCUGAUUAGCUAGUUGGUAAGGUAAGGGCUUACCAAGGCGACGAUCAGUAGCCGGCCUGAGAGGGUGACCGGCCACACUGGGACUGAGACACGGCCCAGACUCCUACGGGAGGCAGCAGUGGGGAAUCUUCCGCAAUGGGCGAAAGCCUGACGGAGCAACGCCGCGUGAAUGAAGAAGGCCUUCGGGUCGUAAAGUUCUGUUGAAAGGGAAGAAGUCUCUUUAUGUGAAUAAUGUAAAGAGGUGACGGUACCUUUUGAGGAAGCUCCGGCUAACUACGUG
rnacentral:rRNA from 1 species